AUACAGAGGGUGCAAGCGUUAAUCGGAAUUACUGGGCGUAAAGCGCGCGUAGGCGGUUUGUUAAGUUGGAUGUGAAAGCCCCGGGCUUAACCUGGGAGGGUCAUUCAAAACUGGCAGACUAGAGUGUGGUAGCGGGUAGUGGAAUUCCUAGUGUAGCGGUGAAAUGCGUAGAGAUUAGGAGGAACACCAGUGGCGAAGGCGACUGCCUGGACCAACACUGACGCUGAGGUGCGAAAGCGUGGGUAGCGAACAGGAUUAGAAACCCCAGUAGUCC
rnacentral:rRNA from 1 species